UACGGAGGGGGCUAGCGUUGUUCGGAAUUACUGGGCGUAAAGCGCACGUAGGCGGCUUUGUAAGUUAGAGGUGAAAGCCCAGGGCUCAACCCUGGAAUUGCCUUUAAGACUGCAUCGCUUGAACAUCGGAGAGGUAAGUGGAAUUCCGAGUGUAGAGGUGAAAUUCGUAGAUAUUCGGAAGAACACCAGUAGCGAAGGCGACUUACUGGACGAUUGUUGACGCUGAGGUGCGAAAGCGUGGGGAGCAAACAGG
rnacentral:rRNA from 1 species